rnacentral:tRNA from 1 species
UCCUUGAUGGUCUAAUGGUUAGGAUGCCACACUUCCACUGUCAAAGGCCUGGAUUCAAUCCCUGGUCAGGGAA